GUCAACAGCCUUCUUGCUCCUGGAGCAAUGCGUGAGCUACUGAUUCGUGCUGCUCUCCCACCAGCAAGCAGGGAGAUGUCUGCACCAUCUUGGGGACCUGGGUACCAGUAGUUACCCAGGCAAAAUUCUUGCUUGGAAAGAAAGUCUUUUUAUUUCUCUGCUGGCUGCAUUUUCUAAGAUUUAUAUGACCAGUUUCUAAACUCUUCUUAAUUGUAGAGAUAAUGUAUUUAAAACAUAUGUGCUUCCCGUAAUGCAUGCGCUCUGAAUGCUGUCUGCCUCUUGCCCUGUCUGCGUUCACAGAAGGUACACAUGCAUAUGGAAACAAUCAGGCUACCCAAAAGACAACACACUUGAUACUGCUAAUUACACAGAGUAAACACCGCUGGGACUAUAACUGGUCUCAAGAUCUGAGUCAAUGUUUUGCUGCUGAGCUAAAGAAGAAAGUCUAUUAUGUGCAUUCGUAUUACAGCCAGCUAAGUCCCUGCUGCACAUAUUGCUGAUUUCUGUACAUGCUACAUGGCAGAGAGCCAAGAAAUUGUAGCGCAAACAGGGUUUUAUAACCAGCAUUAUUUAAGGAUGGGCAAACUAUGAAGCUCUGAAAGUUAAUGAUUCUAGCGCACUUUCAAUUAAUUUUUAUUGUCAAGCUAUAUUUCAGGGUACUAAAGACCUCUUGCGAUGACAAGAAGGAGUGUGUGGGAACAGGCAGGAAUACAGUAUGCAUUGUUGUUCUCUCGGAUUUAUAGAUCAGCAAAUAACCUAUCCGGAUGACAAGUUAUUUUUUUUCCUCUCAUGUUAGAUGCAAUUCAUCUCUGUGUUGAGCUUCCCCUCAGAAAAUGCAUUUUAGCAAUAUAAAUACAGUAUCAGGCUUCAUAUUGCACAAGUGGUACAGCUGAGCCCCUGCACAGAAGUAAGUAUCACCUCUUUCACUAAGAAUAUCUGUACUACUUGUGUAGUUAAGACAAUCUUACAAUAGCCUGAUACAGAAAUCACUGAAUGGAUUUAAAAGUACUAACUACAUUUUAAUGACUUAUAGUAGGAACUUCUGACAGGACGCUAUAUUUUAAAGCACAUGAAGUCUGCAUGCCAUAAGUUUCGAGGUCUGGAUUUAGGCAGUCUGUGCAUGAGCAAUCACAGUGACAAAGCCUGGCCUUGCAUGAUGAACAUCAAGUUCACCACUUCAGCUCCCUCUCUGCCCCUCUGAAGGCAUAGACCAGAGCUGUAUGUCAGCUAACCAGCAGCACUGGCUGGCUGGUGAGUUCUGCCUGCUUUUCUGCUUGCAGAGGACACAAGUUUGGGCUUCUACCCAGACAGUGACUGAUUUAGAGGGUCAUGGUGGUUUCGAAUUCUUUCAGAUUUGACUGAGAGUGCACAGCAGAAUUGAAACAGAUUACAGGAAAACUGAGGGACAGAGCAAUCGCAUAAACUGAAUUUCCUUAGGAAACAUAAGGAAAAAAAAAAAUCAAGAACACCACAAACCCAAUUCUAACCAAAACACACACUUUGGAAAGUAUUGGGAGAGCUGGGCCACAGUCAGACAUCCUGCUCUAGUUUUCAACUGAGCGAGGUGGCUGCUCUGGUCGGCUCCUUCUCUGCUGCCCCAGGUUACUGCUUCAUCGGCUGUGCUGAUACAGCUGUUUGUCUAGCUGCCCUUUAAACUAGUUCUGUGAAAUGAUCCACUCAAAAGAAAAUACAUGCUUUUCAGGGAGAGUGCAUGAUGGGGUUUUUUUAGCCCAAAGAUCCUUAAAAAAAAAUCUUUAGAUCUUAGCUACACAAACACUUAGCUUGGUGUCAUGGGACAGCAGGUGUAAGUCUCUGUGUGUGCGUGUGAGGGAAGAGGGGAAGCUACACCAAAGGGCUCUGCUUCAGUCCAAACAGUUCAUGUAGGCUGUGGAAGAAAUUUCUGUCUCCAGCUCUUCCCUGGUAUCGGAGGUUCCUGCUGCUUCAGAUCCAGGGAAUAAGCUGUGGGUUGACCCCUUCCUGUCUUGCAUUGGGUGGUAGCUUAUAAUACUGAAGUCACCUCUAACCUACCUCAUUCAGACUGGAAAUAUGUGAGAAGGAUUCAAACACAGUUGAGCAAAACAGACCUGAAGCCAUAGGCUGAGACAAUAGACUUUUCCACCAGCAUCUCAGCUUGGGAGGAUGUGCAUCUGUAGCCCAGUCUCCUUUGUAGACAUUGUUAGAUUAUCUCUAGAGGAUUUAUUGCAGAGAGAAAUGCUGCUUAUUUCUAGCAUGAAACCACACAGCUCCUCCUUUGGGCUGGCACUGUGCUCCAGCUAAUGGGGGCAACUAUUCAGAUCAUCCGUGUCUCUUCUUAAAAUCAGUAGACAUGAUCUUGAGUAUGCUAAGUGGAAGGAAGCUCACUCCUCUUUGAAAUGCAGGCAAGUACUUCAUCGCUGAUUGCAAACCAAAACAUCUUUAUGGGGAAGCUUUCUGCUGAAAUCAAAGUGAAACUUUAACCUUGGCUUUCUUAUUGCUACCCUGGAGUCACCACAUCCUUCUCUUGUCACCAUCACCUUUCAGUUUAGAAAGUGGCAACAAGCUACAGUAUUCAGUGCUAAGUGAGAAGUGAGUCUCUCUGUGUUUGGGGGGGAAAGGAUGAAUUUAUGGUGGUGUUAAAAUUUGCUCUUCGAAAGCAGUGAACACUGAAGGGUCCACUUGAGGAGAACGUUUCUGGCAUGCUGCAAUUUUGCGUUGCUUCCCUGCAUUUCUUGUGGAGACAAGCCCCAAGGAAUCUGAAAACUUGGCUUAUUUUCCUGAUCCUGCAACAGAUUCCUUGUCUUGCCCAGCCAAGGUCAAGUCCUUUAAGACCACAUUUUCAAGCAUGGUCUUUAAUUUUAGCCCUGUAGCUUGAGAUACCCAGAAUCUGUCCUGCACAUGUAUUAAUCACUUACAGCUCUAGCCAAAAUUAACAGAAGCUGCCUGUACACAGAAUUGCACUGAAAAUUAGAUGCUACUUAAAAAAACAGGGCCAAAUCUGUCUUACUCAGCUUGCUCAUAUGUUCACUGGAGGUAGUAACACCUGUCCAGCUGGGGAGACAUCAGGCUAAAUUAAUUAGUAUUUGUAAAGCAUGUGAAGUAAUUAUUAUUUUUUUUUAAACAUUAUUUGCACAUGUAACGGAGAAGAGCUCUUUGAGCAUUGUUUCUCUUAUUUGGAUGUUUUUAUUGGAUUCAAAUAAGGAUAAACAUUACCUCCUUCAUCAGCAAUCGUGCUGCCCAUAAAGAAUUUGGUUUUGCUUUGAAGGAUUAGGGCAUGAGAUUUUAGUUCCUCUCACUUGUUUAUGGCAUUAAUUUGCUGCACAUAAAUCACUGCAGGUCAGAACAUUGCUGUUCCCUUAGCAGAAGGUAAGAGCACAGAAUCACUCUUUAAUGUUGUGCAAUUGGACAGGAUUUAGCUUGUCCUGAUUUUGUGUUUGGAGAAGUCAGGAUGCCCUUUGUGCUUGAUGUUUUACCUCGUUUUCUCUUGAAGGUCCAGUGGAGAAAUCUGACUAGGCGCAUUUGCAUCACUCACUCACUGCCUGAUCUUUGUCUGUGUUUUGCACAAAUUAAAGUACAGCUUCCCCUCUUUUGCUUUCUGUGGGAUUUCCCAGUGUUUCACGAGGCUGCAGUUUGAUGAACUCUUCAAGCUGGCACUGAUGCUGAAAGAACCACUUGUAUUGUAUUUCCUUUACACCUGGUCCAGAGUACAUGUGACUGUAGGGUGGAACAGAUCGGGGAAGCAAUCUGGCUCAGAAAAUAACCAUUUCUGGUUUUUAAUCAGAUAAGUUUUCUGUGUUUCGGUUUAAUGGUAGAGCUGAGCAGCAGGGCAAGAGUAGGAGUUGCAGAGAGAGGGAGUGAAGGUCCAGUCCUUCAGGUGGCCUUGCAUGGUGGUGUUUGCAGAAACUAUGCAGUCUCACUAUUUGCCACUCUCUGUCUCUUUAUCUCUCUUAGUGCCACUAUCUGUUGGUGGUGGGAAGGGUUGUGGCAAUAAGUUAAUGUUACUCAGUAGCCAGCAAUCAAUGUGGAUUAAGACCCAUAUUGUGCCUUUCUGAUACCAAGACUAUCCCCCUCCCCCUUCCAUUCUUUGGUUUACUCAGUAGAGCUACCCUGAUUCACAUAAGCUAACAAUCUGUUUGAGAAGAAACAAUUAGGCUCAUAGAAGUUGUUGACAUCUUAUUUUCAUUUUUUUUCAAUGGCAUAAUGGGUACUCCAGUCCAGCUUGUCCUUUUGUGUUCUCCAUCCCAGGCAUCCCUCCCAGAUGCAAAGACCCUGUGAGGUUGAGGACAGAACAGUGGCUCUCCCAAACAUUUUGGACCAAGAAACUGCUAGUAACACUUAGCAUUUCUCUCAGACCAUAGUGUGGCUGCUGAGCAGGCUAUUAAUUUAAAACACUGCUCAAACCAGGCAGGCUCCCCGGGCCAGCUGCAGGCUGCUUCCCAUGUCCUCUGAGCCCAUAGUGCUAGCAAUUGCUGGAAAGCUGGGGAGGAUGGAGUGAGGUUGCAGAAGGCUGUAAGAACAGCUUGGGUGUCUUUUCCGGGAAGUUGAGUGCACACUCCCUGCUUCUUCUUUCUCUGUGGUCUUUUGGAGUUCAGCUUAAAUCAGAUCCGGAAAACAGCAUCCCGCUGCAGAAGAGCCAAUGGUCCUAGAAACAGACUCCUACUAUAAAAAAGCCUACGGGAGCCAGAUGCCCCUGACAGAGAUUGAUUGACUGGCUGGUCGUAUCACCUUUCACUUCACUUUGGCAAGGGGGGAAGCACGGAAUGAUGGAAAGUUUUCAGGUGGUACUUUCAGAAAGUAUUUGAAGGGUUUUUUUGUUUAAGUGCUGCAGGCAGGAAAGAGUCAUUCUACACCAUGCAGUGCCAGCUCAGAGACAGAAUAAAAGGAGAUCAGUAGGUACCAAGGAGCAGUUGCUCCUGAGAAGUCCUUCCUGUGAACACAGCAUGCUGCAGAUGUGUGCUUUGUGAGAGGUUGGAUUAGAUCAUCGCCAUGGAAAGGAAAUACUGUGUCUCCUGGAGGUACGGGAGGCUCAAUGACAAGCCUCGUGUGGCAGGGUGGAUCCUUGGCCGGAGAACCGCUUUGGAGAAGAGAGAGAGGGAGAUGCUUGACUGUGCCACCACCAGCCUUUGCAGAACCGGUGUGCCAGCCGCCUCCCUGCGGGGUCCUUUUGCAGCGGAAGGUCGGGCCUCUCCCGACCUGCACGGUUCUGAGUCCCUGGCUGUUACUGGUGUGUUGGAAAGCAAUGACUCCUCAGAUGUUCCUGUAUACCUUUAUCUAUCUGCCUCCAAUUACUUUAUGAGCUCAUGAAAAUGAACACAAGGCAUCUUUGACAUUCCUCUCUCUCAUUUCCUCUCCUAUUUUUUACAUAGGGCACUUUUGCCAAUAACUCUUUCCUAGUAAAACAAUGCCUCUGAAUUCAUGCUGUGUGUGUAUGUGAUUCCAUGUACCCUCCCUCCCCACCUCCCCAAAUGUUUGAGCCUGUUGGCAAAAGAAUACAGAUCUGAAAGUGAAGUUCCUGUGAGGUUGAAAGAGAGAGGCAGAUGGGUACAUGAGAGAGCCUGUUUGUGCUGGAAGCGUCAACGUGCUACCAGCUCAGCUCACCUUUUAUCAGGCACCAGAGAGCUCCCACUGGAGCGUGCCCCUGGAAAUCAGACUUCAUCCUGUCUGUCAGUCCUGGACUAUUUGUUCAAGCUGAUGAUUUUGGAAUAAAGAUGGGAAGGCGGGGUUUAAAAGCUGGAGCUUCUCUUUUCUGCACUUUCAAGAUGUAUGGUUGUCAUUUGCAGGUGAUCAGGAGGCCAUAGUUAUGUACUAGGCAGUAGGGAAUCUCUAUCCCUGGUGCACACACCCUGCAAAGUAGCUAUUUAUUUUGUUACAGAGCAACAUAACUGUCAGGUUUCAACAGUGUCAUAUCUCAGAAAUGUGGAUGCCCUUAAAUCAAUUUUUGCUGAGGUCAUAAAGGCUUUAAAAAUAAAGGCAAAGCCUUGAAUUUAAGCUGGGACUGAGUAGUUAACAGAGCAAAGAACAGAGCUUAAGUUUGUUUGGUGGUCUUGUGCUGCUGAAUAAAUGGCCUGAUGCAUUCUUGUAUGGGUUGUCACUCCUAAACCCACUAGGUUGUAGAAAUCAAGGAUUAUAGGGCCAAGUCCAAUCUUUCAGGUUAUCUGACUGGAAAUAGUGCUAAAGGAUUGAGGCUUUUACAGCAACCAUUAUUGGGGUUUUUGGGAUGAUAGAGUUCAGAUGAACAUUAAAUCUUUAGUUAGACUUUAAUACCAGCAGUGGACAUUAUCAAAGUGUAAAAUACUUCCCUAUAUCUUCAUCAGCCCAGGCUCUUACAACAAUUUAGCUUCUGCCAACUUCAUUCAUUUGCUGAUCGUAGCCAAGCCCUUGAAGAGCUGGGUAAUGGUGUCAUUUGCAUGGGAGGUGAAGAUGAUGGAGAGAUGGGUGUCAUGUGUGUACUGCUGACAAGCCAGUCCAUGGUGCCACUGAAUCUUCUCUAGAGGCUUUUUAUAGAUAGUGAACAGGCUGGGUGAGAGGAAAGAAUCUGGUGUUAUUCAGCAGGUGGAAAAGGUUUUGAAGGUUAAGGAAAGAGCAAGUGUUUAUCAUAAAUCUCUUGAGUGUACAAGAGAUUUAUGUAAGGGAUGUCUGAAGAGGUACCAGCUCAGUUCCAUAAGGCUGUGGACAGACAUUUAUUUUCAAACAGCUGAGCUGGUUGGAAAUUCUACAGCCAUUCCAGAUGCUUGCUACCAAUCCUCUGUUGAUGGCGCUUGUACCCCUUGCUCUGCUAUUAGAAAAGGUGGUCCAAGGUCUUCCUAAUCUGUCAGGUGAAGCCUCUCAGAUAAAGUCCUGAAAAAGGUGGUGUUUGUUAACCCACUGACAUUCCUUACCUUUAAGAGAGAGCUGUUUACUAGCACUGGCUUGCCCUGAGUGAGAGGAGAGGAGAGGUGAGAGAGGAGAGAAGGCGGCUGAAUCCUUUCCCACAGAAUGUGCCCACAGGCCCAAACAGUUCCUGCAUUGCCUCCUACAGGUCUGAAGACGGGUCUGGGACCGGACGCAUCUACUGGAGUAGACUAUAUUACACCUGUUUCAUGUGCCAAGCAUGUGAAUAAAAUAUGUGUGAAGAACUGUUUGUUACACGAGCAACUAAAAUGGAAUAUUUGGAACUGUGUCAGCCUCCUUUGUAAACAAGAGCUCUAGGAUGGGUACACAGUGUGGUAGAAGCUCAGGUAACUUAGGGAUCACUAUUGUCCAAAUUUCCUAACAGUCUUUACAAGAAAUUGGUGUUAAUUAUUAUGUUACUACCACUGUGGUUAAAGCUGAACUGGCAAGUUAUAAUAAAAUCUUUAAGAAUAUUCAGUUGGGGCAAUGAAGAAGACUCCUGUGCUCAAAGGAUCAUUUGGAAAUGGGAGGAAGGAUGAAGAAAAGGUGCAGGUGAUUUUUAAGAGAUCCUGUAGCUCCUACAGGGUUUUGACAUCCCAAAAUACAGAACUGUCAAAAAAUCCUUGAUGUAUGCACAGGUAAAACAAAACAAGCUAUAAUAGUGUGUGUGGCCUCAUGGUAAAUGUGUGUGUCUGCUGACUGUGCUUUAACAUGAAGGGCUCUUAGUACCCACCACUAUGAUUUUCAGGUAGUGAAACAUGCUGUUAUUUAUCAAAUGGUAACCCUCUGAGGACUGGUGAGAUGCAGAAUCUUCCUAGCAACCAAGAAACAACCUGCAGCCUUUCUGAAACAUGGAACUGGGGACAGUUUUUAAACUCUCCCUUCAUCAAGAAACAAACUCUCCCUUUCAUAUAACACUGCUCUCUUACAGUAUGAGACAAAUCUGUAAAAAUGGACCACCCCUAAUGUCUGAGCCUGGCUCUAAACAGGAUCCCUAACUUACUGGUCAUCCUGUUUCUGAACUGGGCCAAAAAGGAGCAUCCUACCUUAAUAACAGUCUGAAACUCUAGUGGAAUUUGGACUCUGAUCCAAACUCAAGGCACAGUCUCUUCUCUAAAUAAAAAUAACUAGAUCACAAGCUAUUUUGGGGGGGUGACUUUUAGACAAGAAACGUAGGGCUUACAUAGGUUUUUACUCCUGUCAGAUACAUCUGGAUGCUGUCCUCCUUCCAGCCGAUAUUCUGAAAGUGCUUUCAUCAGCUCAGAGCCAAAUAACCCUAACUGGAAGUUGGAAACUGUAGAACAACUGACAUUAUUCAUGCAGAACAGGAUUCCAGCAGAGAUUUUUUUCCUGGUGGAUUGAGAAGAGCAGAACCAGCAGAACUGCCCGUGCAGAGAGUGUUAUUUCAGAAGAAGAGCACUCCCUCUCUCACAGAGUGAUCCAAUAUGCCUUCCGUCCGGGGGCAGGAGUGGAAAAGUGGGAGGAGAGGGGGAAUAAGGAUGCUUCCUUCCCAGCACUCGGGGCUGCUGGCCAAGAAUGCAAGUCUAAAUUCAAGCCCAAUUCUGUCAAAAUACCUACCUGUACCUCUGGCUAUGAAGAAGGGUGUCUGUGAGUAGCCUGAGGCUUUUGGCUUGAUGCAAACCGUAUUGAGUACCACAAGAAUGAGCUGACCAAGACUGAUCUGGACUUUCAAAAGUUUGGAGAUCUGCAGUUAAAAGAACAAGAUCUUACAGUUUUACAAGCUUCUACACUAUUUGAAUCCAUAAAUACAAGGACCACUAAUCAUCUCAUCGUUGGACUGCUUUCACACACUGGCUAGAAGGUGCUGUGUGAAGGAUACAACAUAUUGUUAACACAGUUGCUUUUCCAAGGGAGAUCUCUGUAAGAGGACUGAGAGAACAGUGACUGGUCACCCUCCUGCAAUGUCACAAUCCCUCCUGGACCUUUUGAGUGACUAGGCUGGAAACAUCCUAAGGGGAUUUUUCUGCUUCUUCUUUUUCCCCUCCUUUCACUACAUCAGGCUCGUCUUCCUGCUGUCUUAAGGAGACCACCUACAAUUUAAGGAAAUAAAGACCUCUGUGAAAAAACAGAGGCAAACCUGAUAUUUAAGGGCACUAACUGUGGGAAGCCUAGGUACCUCAGUGUUCUCCUCCUAGCACUGUGAAUAAAUGCUAGGAGGCAGCUGGUGCCGGCCGGCUGGAUGCCAAGCAGGUCAGGCCUCUGCAGCUGAAACUGCCCGAGAUUUUUAAGUGCAGAGAUGAAUCAGCUGUGUCCUUUAGAAAACGCAUCCUCUCUCGGACAUGCUGCUGGAAUGUUGUGUCUCUCCACUGCCUCCCUGCGAGUGUGCUCAGAGCUGCUGGCUGAUGACAAACUGCCCCCUAAUGCAGAGGAUACAAGAGGGGAGCAUCAUUUUAUCAUAACACGGAUGCGUCCUUUGCAAUUGUGACUUUCCUUGGCUGGCAUGUGGGAUGCUGUGACCAGCCUGCUGUGUUUUCUGUCUUUCUCUGGGACAGCUGAAUGGAUACAGAGAUGUGAGCUUUCAUUACCUGCAAGUUUCCAUCUGGUCUGUUGGCAGCGCUCUGCAUGAAAGGGACCACGAGAAGCUGGAGGUGCUACAGAUUUAAUCAGGAUACCACUGGCAGCACAGAUGCAGACGAAGUCUCAGCAUGGUAAAUUCAAAAAACUCCAAGUUUAAAUGCAUGAGCAUUUGCUGGUUUACCUCCAGACCAGAAAGAACAGUACCUGUUAUUUCUUCCUGACACAGGAGACAUUGCAAAGAUCUGCAAACAGCCUUUUGCACAUGCCAGAGCGUGCAUCAAGUACACUCUGGACAUUGGUUCUGUGGCUUUCAGUUUGGGGCUGUCAGCACAGUGAUGUUUCCAAAAGUGGGACACGACGUCGCACUCAUCUACAGCUGCCCUGCUCUCAAACGCACACAGAUAUCUGCACACAGACAUCUGCAGGAGAAGGGAGGUACCCCUCUGGUAGAGGCAUCAGCCGGAUGGCAGCAUGCCUUUGACCUAGAGGAAAGGAAUGCAGCAUCUCCUGGUGACUGAGAAAGCUUGGGUGGUUUUGCACAUAGGAAGCUCUCUUAAAUGUGUUUCCUCCAACCGCCUGGCCUUUUGUUUUUCAGCCAUGCUUGAUGCUGGUGUUGGAAAGCUGAACUCCCCAAAAGUGAACUUCCUCUCCUACUAUAAACUGACCCUUGGGGUUGCUAUAGCGACUGCAGAGCAGCCAGCGGGCUGUAUAAACACUCCCUCCCGCUUCCCAUCACACUAGGCCUGAGAGGCUGAGCCACGGGAUGUGCGCAGUAACCUGGAUUGUGCGGGUGGUUGUGAAAUGCAAAACCGACAAUUUCUCUGCUUCCUCCCUGCUUCCCCCACAGGGAGGCAAACCCAGCAGGCUGGUAGCAGGCACAAACACGCCCGUCCUGACGAAUUUGGGCAUAUGGCAUGGUACCGCAGAAACCAAACCCAGACAUUCACCUGGGGAGCUUGAGCAAGAUGUGGAAAUAUAUGGUGCAACUGGAUUCUCUGCAACAUCUGAUUCCUGUGGCCUCACUAACUGUUGAGCUUCCAGCUGUGAGGGGGGAGCGGUUUGGUACAUACAAUGUCACAGCUCCUUCUAUGUAAUUAAUUGCAACAAUCAACCGAGUGUGAAAUCCAUCAGUCUCUGGGUCCUCUGUUGCUCGCUUUGAUGUCAGCUCUUCUUCCUUCAUUUUCUUUCUUUUUUUUUUUUUUAAUGCAUUUCAUUAAAGUCUGUCCCUGACUCUCUGAGCCACUUUCCAGACAUUGAUGUUUGUGUGUGACUGUAUCCAUCCCCAUAAAAGCAGGUCAGGUGUUUCAACAGCAGCAGCCUGUGAGACAAAUUGA